CAGUGAGGAAAAUCCUGAAUUCUAUUUUGAGGAUGCCAUGAGGGGAACUCGGGUCCAUGCAGUCAUUCAGAGAACCAAGCGCCUUCCAGUUAGUGCUCCCACACCUCCUAGAACCUUGGAGUCCUCCGUCAGAUUCCCUGCAUUUGGCCAGCUGAUGAGGGAAGAGGCAUAAUGGGGCAGGAGAAUGAGGAUCGCGUCAGAAGUUUUAUAGGAGUCAGGCCUGGAAGUGCUGUGUAUCAGUCACUUCUACCUACGCUCCGUAGGCUGGAUCCCAGCAUCAUCUUGAAAAGUCUGUCCUUUCCCCACUGACUUUUGGGUGACACCUGCC